CCUACGGGAGGCAGCAGUAGGGAAUAUUGCUCAAUGGGGGAAACCCUGACGCAGCAACGCCGCGUGGAGGAUGAAGGUCUUCGGAUCGUAAACCCCUUUCAUUAGAGAAGAUAAUGCCCUGUUCUAACGAAUAAUCACUGGCUAACACCGUGCCAGCAGCCGCGGUAAUACGGAGGGUGAAAGCGUUACUCGGAAACACUGGUGGUAACGCACGCGGAGGCGGGAUGGCAAGUCAGAUGGGAAAUCAUAUGGCUUAACCAGAGAACUGCAUUUGAAACUGGUAAUCUUGAGUAUGUGAGAGGUAAGUGGAAUUCUUGGUGUAGGGGUAAAAUCCGUAGAGAUCAAGAGGAAUA
rnacentral:rRNA from 1 species